UACGAAGGGGGCCAGCGUUGUUCGGAAUUACUGGGCGUAAAGCGCGCGCAGGCGGUCCUUUAAGUCAGGGGUGAAAGCCCAGAGCUCAACUCUGGAACUGCCUUUGAAACUAGAGGACUUGGGUACGGGAGAGGUGAGUGGAAUUCCGAGUGUAGAGGUGAAAUUCGUAGAUAUUCGGAAGAACACCAGUGGCGAAGGCGACUCACUGGACACGUAUUGACGCUGAGGUGCGAAAGCGUGGGGAGCAAACAGG
rnacentral:rRNA from 1 species